AUAACCCGAAGAACCCUACAAGGCGCCAAAUAAAAAAAUGGUACUUUUCAAAAGAGGCGCGGAAAAUAGGUUUUUAGGUACUCAGUGAUAUGAGCAAUUUCGCACUCACCACAACACUUCGAAGGACUUUAAAAGUGGAGGGAACUUUGUUUUCCAGCAGAAGUUUUGUACCAAAGACAAUUUCGACCUUUCCUAGAAAAUUUGGAACUUGGGCAGCUUUAUUUUCAUUGAAGUCUAGCUUGGAUUUGAAGUUACGUUUUAAGCCUUCGAGACUUAUUCAUAUGGAGAACAAAGAGAGCAGCAGCUCCAGAGGUGCUUUAAUUGUUUUAGAAGGGUUGGAUCGCUGUGGGAAGACAUCGCAAUCUGGCAGACUGUACAAGUAUUUGGAUGAGCAGGGACAUUCAGUUGAGUCGUGGAGAUUUCCUGACAGAAAUACAGGCGUUGGGCAAAUGAUUUCUUCUUAUCUUGCAAACAAAUCACAGUUGGAUGACCAUGCAAUCCAUCUUCUCUUCAGUGCAAAUCGUUGGGAAAAGAGAUCAUUAAUGGAGGAGAAGCUGAAGAGUGGAACGACUCUCAUCGUUGACCGCUAUUCUUAUUCUGGGGUGGCAUUUUCCUCUGCCAAGGGACUUGAUAUUGAAUGGUGUAAGGCUCCAGAAAUAGGGUUGUUAGCUCCAGAUCUGGUUGUAUAUCUCGACAUAUCUCCAGAGAAAGCUGCUGAAAGAGGAGGUUAUGGAGAUGAAAGAUAUGAGCAGCUUGAGUUUCAGAAAAAGGUUGCUGGAUCUUAUUUGUCUCUUCGUGAUUCCUCGUGGAAGGUUAUCGAUGCAACCCUUUCGAUUGAAGAUGUAGAGAAGAAGCUCAGAGAAGUUGUACUUGACUGUAUGAUUACGUGCCACAAAGGGAAACCAUUGUCUCAGUUAUGGCCAUGUUAGGUCUAGUGAAUGUCUGCAUGAAUGAUAUAAACAUGAUGAUUUAGUCAAAUGAAGAUACCAGAUAUACUGUGAUGCAGUGGUGAUUUUAUUAGAGAGGGUUGUGCUUGGAUGUGAGAAAAUGGAUUACACUGAUGAAACACUGGAUCUAUUUCGUGCUCUAUGGGUUUACCUCUAUAUUGUCUUCUUCAAACUCCAUUUAUGUGAUACGUGAGCCAAGAGUCUUUUGGAAACAACCUCUCUAUUUCCAGGAGGUAGGGGUAAGCUAAGGUACUCUCCCCAGAACUCACAUGUGUGAAUACACUAGGUAUGUUGUUGUUGACUUGUAGUUUUUCCUUUUCAGUGAAAGACUUAUAGGCUCCUCGCAGUAUCUAAAUGUGUAUAUAAAAAUGUCUUGUUAUGACAAGCCCUUAUUCUUAGCAUGGACUUAAGAGUAUUCCUAUUCCCUUGCAUUCUUGAUCAGUGUGGUGAUUGAGAGUAUUCCUAUUCCCUUGCAUUCUUGAUCAAUGAGGUGAUUGAGUUGCUACUUCCAACUCUUAUCUGAAGCAUUUCGAGGGUCAAAGACAUUCUUUAUCGGUGAGUUGAUUAUUUGCUUGAAU